GAACGCUAGCGGGAGGCCUAACACAUGCAAGCCGAGCGGUAGAAGAUCUUCGGAUCUUUGAGAGCGGCGCACGGGUGCGGAACACGUGUGCAACCUACCUUUAUCAGGGGGAUAGCCUUUCGAAAGGAAGAUUAAUACCCCAUAAUAUAUUAAGUGGCAUCACUUGAUAUUGAAAACUCCGGUGGAUAGAGAUGGGCACGCGCAGGAUUAGAUAGUUGGUAGGGUAACGGCCUACCAAGUCAACGAUCCUUAGGGGGCCUGAGAGGGUGAUCCCCCACACUGGUACUGAGACACGGACCAGACUCCUACGGGAGGCAGCAGUGAGGAAUAUUGGACAAUGGGUGAGAGCCUGAUCCAGCCAUCCCGCGUGAAGGACGACGGCCCUAUGGGUUGUAAACUUCUUUUGUAUAGGGAUAAACCUACUCUCGUGAGAGUAGCUGAAGGUACUAUACGAAUAAGCACCGGCUAACUCCGUGCCAGCAGCCGCGGUAAUACGGAGGGUGCAAGCGUUAUCCGGAUUUAUUGGGUUUAAAGGGUCCGUAGGCUGAUUUGUAAGUCAGUGGUGAAAUCUCACAGCUUAACUGUGAAACUGCCAUUGAUACUGCAAGUCUUGAGUGUUGUUGAAGUAGCUGGAAUAAGUAGUGUAGCGGUGAAAUGCAUAGAUAUUACUUAGAACACCAAUUGCGAAGGCAGGUUACUAAGCAACAACUGACGCUGAUGGACGAAAGCGUGGGGAGCGAACAGGAUUAGAUACCCUGGUAGUCCACGCCGUAAACGAUGCUAACUCGUUUUUGGGGCUUUAAGCUUCAGAGACUAAGCGAAAGUGAUAAGUUAGCCACCUGGGGAGUACGUUCGCAAGAAUGAAACUCAAAGGAAUUGACGGGGGCCCGCACAAGCGGUGGAUUAUGUGGUUUAAUUCGAUGAUACGCGAGGAACCUUACCAAGGCUUAAAUGGGAAAUGACAGGUUUAGAAAUAGACUUUUCUUCGGACAUUUUUCAAGGUGCUGCAUGGUUGUCGUCAGCUCGUGCCGUGAGGUGUUAGGU
rnacentral:rRNA from 1 species